UAAGGAAUAUUGGACAAUGGAGGCAACUCUGAUCCAGCCAUGCCGCGUGAAGGAAUAAGGCCCUAUGGGUUGUAAACUUCUUUUAGACGGGACAAAACCCCUUUACGUGUAAAGGGUUGAUGGUACUGUCAGAAUAAGCAUCGGCUAACUUCGUGCCAGCAGCCGCGGUAAUACGUAGGGGGCAAGCGUUGUCCGGAUUUACUGGGUGUAAAGGGCGCGCAGGCGGGAUAAAAAGUCAGUGGUGAAAUCCUACAGCUUAACUGUAGAACUGCCUUNGAUACUUUUAUUCUUGAUUUCGGGAGAGAGAGACGGAAUUCCAGGUUUAGUGGUGAAAUACGUAGAUAUCUGGAAGAACACCAGUUGCGAAGGCGGUCUCUUGGUCCGACACUGACGCUGAGGCGCGAAAGCGUGGGG
rnacentral:rRNA from 1 species